UUUCUUUUCAGUGGGAAAAUACACGACAUACAUAUAUAUGGGGAGGUAAUAGCUCCAACUCGGUUUUACAGUGAUUACUGCAUUAACUUCAAACUGGCACGAGGAAACAUACUGAGAAACCAGAG